rnacentral:lncRNA from 1 species
AAGAAAAAGAACGAUUAACAAGUAACAAGAGACAAGGGACACUUCUGGUCAGUGACUCUUGAAAAUCUGUCACGACCUUUGUGGAAAAGAAGAUGAGCUGGUGACAAAUCAUUUACUUUCUCUGAACAUCUCAUCUGGUCCUAAGGAACAUGAAGCCUACUAGACCCAGAACCCCACUUUUCCGGAGGAAGUUACUUUUGAUUCUACUCCUGAAGGAUUGUGUCUGCCCUGCAGGCUAUGCAAAAUAUUACUGAUUCUGAACCUGGAGGGAAAACUGUAAGUUCAUAGACGUUCUCAAACUGUUUUCAAUCAUGGGGUAUGGUCCUCCAGCU